rnacentral:rRNA from 1 species
AAUGAACGUUGGCGGCGUGGAUUAGGCAUGCAAGUCGCGCGGUAAGGCUCCUUCGGGAGUACACGAGCGGCGAAAGGGAGAGUAACGCGUGGAUUAUCUACCCUGGGGUCCGGAAUAGCUGCGGGAAACUGCAGGUAAUGCCGGAUAAUAUCUACGGAUCAAAGGUGUGAUUCCGCCCUUGGAGGAGUCCGCGUCCUAUUAGCUUGUUGGUGGGGUAAUGGCCUACCAAGGCGACGAUGGGUACCGGGUGUGAGAGCAUGACCCGGCUCACUGGGACUGAGACACUGCCCAGACACCUACGGGUGGCAG